rnacentral:rRNA from 1 species
GCGGCGUGCCUAAUACAUGCAAGUCGAACGCUUCUUUUUCCAUCGGAGCUUGCUCCACCGGAAAAAGAGGAGUGGCGAACGGGUGAGUAACACGUGGGUAACCUGCCCAUCAGAAGGGGAUAACACUUGGAAACAGGUGCUAAUACCGUAUAACAAUCGAAACCGCAUGGUUUUGAUUUGAAAGGCGCUUUCGGGUGUCGCUGAUGGAUGGACCCGCGGUGCAUUAGCUAGUUGGUGAGGUAACGGCUCACCAAGGCGACGAUGCAUAGCCGACCUGAGAGGGUGAUCGGCCACAUUGGGACUGAGACACGGCCCAAACUCCUACGGGAGGCAGCAGUAGGGAAUCUUCGGCAAUGGACGAAAGUCUGACCGAGCAACGCCGCGUGAGUGAAGAAGGUUUUCGGAUCGUAAAACUCUGUUGUUAGAGAAGAACAAGGAUGAGAGUAACUGUUCAUCCCUUGACGGUAUCUAACCAGAAAGCCACGGCUAACUACGUGCCAGCAGCCGCGGUAAUACGUAGGUGGCAAGCGUUGUCCCGGAUUUAUUGGGCGUAAAGCGAGCGCAGGCGGUUUCUUAAGUCUGAUGUGAAAGCCCCCGGCUCAACCGGGGAGGGUCAUUGGAAACUGGGAGACUUGAGUGCAGAAGAGGAGAGUGGAAUUCCAUGUGUAGCGGUGAAAUGCGUAGAUAUAUGGAGGAACACCAGUGGCGAAGGCGGCUCUCUGGUCUGUAACUGACGCUGAGGCUCGAAAGCGUGGGGAGCAAACAGGAUUAGAUACCCUGGUAGUCCACGCCGUAAACGAUGAGUGCUAAGUGUUGGAGGGUUUCCGCCCUUCAGUGCUGCAGCUAACGCAUUAAGCACUCCGCCUGGGGAGUACGACCGCAAGGUUGAAACUCAAAGGAAUUUGACGGGGGCCCGCACAAGCGGUGGAGCAUGUGGUUUAAUUCGAAGCAACGCGAAGAACCUUACCAGGUCUUGACAUCCUUUGACCACUCUAGAGAUAGAGCUUCCCCUUCGGGGGCAAAGUGACAGGUGGUGCAUGGUUGUCGUCAGCUCGUGUCGUGAGAUGUUGGGUUAAGUCCCGCAACGAGCGCAACCCUUAUUGUUAGUUGCCAUCAUUUAGUUGGGCACUCUAGCAAGACUGCCGGUGACAAACCGGAGGAAGGUGGGGAUGACGUCAAAUCAUCAUGCCCCUUAUGACCUGGGCUACACACGUGCUACAAUGGGAAGUACAACGAGUCGCAAAGUCGCGAGGCUAAGCUAAUCUCUUAAAGCUUCUCUCAGUUCGGAUUGUAGGCUGCAACUCGCCUACAUGAAGCCGGAAUCGCUAGUAAUCGCGGAUCAGCACGCCGCGGUGAAUACGUUCCCGGGCCUUGUACACACCGCCCGUCACACCACGAGAGUUUGUAACACCCGAAGUCGGUGAGGUAACCUUUUGGAGCCAGCCGCCUAAGGU